rnacentral:pre_miRNA from 1 species
AGUGGAAUUGCUGGGUUAUAUACUAUGUUUAACUUUUUGAGGAACUGCCAUACUAUUUUGUAAGGUAGUUGCACUAUUUUACAUUCCCUCCAGCAAU